rnacentral:rRNA from 1 species
CUUAAAUUGAAGAGUUUGAUCAUGGCUCAGAUUGAACGCUGGCGGCAGGCCUAACACAUGCAAGUCGAGCGGAAACGAGUUAUCUGAACC